UGCACUCACUACUGUAAGUCGCUUUGGAUAAGAGCGUCUGCUAAAUGACUAAAG
rfam:Salmo salar isolate Sally breed double haploid chromosome ssa04, whole genome shotgun sequence.